UUUAUUGCUUGUGCAGGGCCUCCAUGCUAGUGACAAGACUUGACCUUUAUGCUUAUGACAGACAUUCCAUCAAUCAUUCGAAUAAGAUCCGUGCAGGCGAUCUCUUGGGAGAAGUGACCAUGGAGGAUGCUUGUGGUUGAGGCUCGCGCAUCAACUUCGGGGCUUCGUCCAUUUGAGGACCUCAGCUACAACCAAAGGCUUCCAAGCCUCGGGCCAUGGGCCUCGGUUAGAAGCAGCUCGGAUAUAACCCACCUCGGCAAUAUGGGCCACCUCGGCAGGAAUGCCACGUGGAUCAGG
rnacentral:lncRNA from 1 species